rnacentral:rRNA from 1 species
AACGAACGCUGGCGGCAUGCCUAACACAUGCAAGUCGAACGAGACCUCCGGGUCUAGUGGCGCACGGGUGCGUAACGCGUGGGAACCUGCCCUUAGGUUCGGAAUAACUCCCCGAAAGGGGUGCUAAUACCGGAUAAUGUCUUCGGACCAAAGAUUUAUCGCCUUUGGAUGGGCCCGCGUUGGAUUAGCUGGUUGGUAGGGUAAAAGCCUACCAAGGCGACGAUCCAUAGCUGGUCUGAGAGGAUGAUCAGCCACACUGGGACUGAGACACGGCCCAGACUCCUACGGGAGGCAGCAGUGGGGAAUAUUGGACAAUGGGCGAAAGCCUGAUCCAGCAAUGCCGCGUGAGUGAUGAAGGCCUUAGGGUUGUAAAGCUCUUUUACCCGGGAUGAUAAUGACAGUACCGGGAGAAUAAGCUCCGGCUAACUCCGUG